rnacentral:rRNA from 1 species
UACGAAGGGGGCUAGCGUUGCUCGGAAUUACUGGGCGUAAAGCGCCCGUAGGCGGAUUGUUAAGUCGGGGGUGAAAUCCUGGAGCUCAACUCCAGAACUGCCUUCGAUACUGGCGAUCUCGAGUUCGGGAGAGGUGAGUGGAACUGCGAGUGUAGAGGUGAAAUUCGUAGAUAUUCGGAAGAACACCAGUGGCGAAGGCGACUUACUGGACAUCUGUUGACGCUGAGGUGCGAAAGCGUGGGGAGCAAACAGG